rnacentral:SRP_RNA from 1 species
AGACGAUCGAUUCCAUCCGCCGCCAGUCCCCCACCAAGGUCAAGGUCAAGGCCGCACCUCGAUCCGUGAGCAGAACACCGAUGUCGCCAACGAAGACGAAUGUGAGCAAGGCGAUGAGCGUCGUCCCGCACACAUUCACGACGAGCCUAGCGACCUACGUGGU